AUUGAACGCUGGCGGCAGGCCUAACACAUGCAAGUCGAGCGAGCGGCGGACGGGUGAGUAAUGUAUGGGGAUCUGCCCGAUAGAGGGGGAUAACUACUCGAAAGAGUGGCUACUAACGCAUACUAUUGCAGCGGCCGAUAUCGGAUUAGCUCGUUGGUGGGGUAAAGGCUCACCAAGGCAACGAUCCGUAGCUGGUUUGAGAGGACGACCAGCCACACUGGUACUGAGACACGGUCCAGACUCCUACGGGAGGCAGCAGUGGGGAAUUUUGGACAAUGGGGGAAACCCUGAUCCAGCCAUCCCGCGUGUAUGAGAAGGCCUUCGGGUUGUAAAGUACUUUUGGCAGAGAAGCGGUAUCUGCAGAAUAAGCACCGGCUAACUACGUGCCAGCAGCCGCGGUAAUUC
rnacentral:rRNA from 1 species